CAUCUCCUCCAAUAUCCAUAACCACCAGUGCACCCACCCUCCCAAUCCCUAAACCCUCAUUAUCUAGUUCUCCCAAUUCUUCUGAUUCUUCUUCUUCCCCAAAUCUUCGUAAAAAAUCUCUCUAUUUUCGCUCUCAUUCCGAAAAAAACCCCCAGAAAUUUCAUGGAUUUCGAAAUUUUAUUUCCCAAAAUUCCAAACCAUCAUCUUCUCCACGUCAACCUACUUGCAAAUCUGAAAAAAAAACCCUCCCAAGUUUCCUCCUAUCUUGCGCCGCACUUACUUGAACCAGCACGAUACCCACGCCGAUCUGAAUGUCUGCACCGAACACAUAAUUAAGCACAGACUCCCGAUGGCCACAACUUCUUUUAGAUCCGAGCUUCCAAUGCCAUCUCUUCCUGAAUCGGGCAUCGCGGCGGGACAUCUAAUCCACACCCACCCCUUACACCUGAUGUAAACCUUCCCCUUCCCUCUGUUCCCUCUGAUCUCGACGAGCUCUGCUGUUAAAUGGUUAAGCAACUGAUUGCGCCAUAGUGACAUCGCCGGAGUCGACAGUGGCGAGGUUUCUGAGGACGAGGAGGGCAGCUUGCAAGGCUUUAAUCGGACCGCGGUGGUGCUAAGGGGGUUAGAAUGGAGGAGAAUGCGAAUUACUUGCCGUUGAAGAUUAAGGGUAACAAUGGUGUGACGUCGCCAAAGCUGGUGAGGGGGGCCGAAGACAUCUGUGGACACGAUCCACUCGCCGUUAGGUGAAAACCUGGUGACAAUGACGGGUUAGGCGUGCUCGGCGUAAACGACGACAGAUGAUAAAUUUAUAUUUGGGUGGGGUCUAAUUUAUAUUCGGCGUAAACGACGACGUCGAAGGCGUGCUCGGUGUUGGAAGAACGAUGACAGGACAACAGGAACAAAGAAGAACGAUGACAGGACAACAGGAACAAAUUUGUGUGGGGUCUAAUUUAAUUUAUAUUUGUCACGUCACUAUUUAACGGUAAAUUUAAUAGAGUAAAUAACAGUUGUAUGAAAUUGAAAUGAAAUAGUAAUAACUGUAUGAGAUUGAAAUGUUUUAAAGAUAUUGUAAGAAAUUGUAAUUGAUCUCAAAGCUAAGGGGGGUAAAAUAUAAUUUACCCUUAAUAAUAUUGUUAGGACAUUUUUUGUCCAUUGUUGGACUGUCGUAAAACAAGGCCUCUCACCUUUUUGAAAAAAUGACAUUAUUUAAGUUCAAAUUAAUUAGUUUAUAUAAUAUAUAAUAAAUUAUUUAAAUUUGCCUCGUCCGUCUAGGCUUGUAUAUGAACAUUACUAUCCCCUUCACUCUAGUAUUUUUUUUCUAGUUGUAAGAUGUUGUCUUUGUAAUCCAACAAUUCAUUCAUUUAUUGAAUGUAAUAAGUAACAUUUUAACAAUAGAAAAGUGAUUGGAAUUUGACGUACUGGGUAGGGACUUCUCUUUCGAAUUGAAUUGGUUGAAAAAUUAGAUUAUGUAAACUUAAUAAGUGCAUUUGCAUCUAAAAACGCGAGACGAGUAAUAUUUGAGUAAUGUUUGUACAUCUUUCUUCUUUUGAUAUUAAUGUUUAAUGAUAUUUGAUGUAGAAAUAGACAUUUCAUGUAUUUAGUGAAUUUUUUUUAUACAUGUUAAUGUACGAAGGGUCAGGAGUCAGAGAACUCUAGGGUCUCAUUUUGAAGGCUCGCAUAGGGCCCCAAAUUCUCAGGGCCGGCCUUGAUUAGAGUGUUAGUCUCUUAACUAAAAAUUCGUGAAUAUUGAUAUAUGAAUUUGAUGAUGUGAAGUAAUGGUCCUUUCAAUUAAUUCUGUUAUAACUUUUAUAAAAAAAGAUUUAAGGGUGCAAAAACUGGAUAAAAAUUCUAAUGAAGUUAACAAAAAGACCAUUAUUAUAUAUUAUAAAAGGUUCAGAACCAAUACUUACAAAUAUUUAAUUCAAGCAAUAAAACUCCAAUUGAGCUAACGCACAAGGGCUAUUGCUUCAAUUUUUUUGGAAAAGAAAAUGCAAGGGCGCGCGCAAUGCAAGGGACAAGAAAGAAGGGCGAGCAGAGAGACGAUUCCGGAAAGUUUAAUUUUAGCGGUGGAAAAACUGUGAAACAAGUGUAUAAAAAGGGCAAGGAUUGGGAACAAGGAAGAUCGUAGAAGAAGAAGCAACGGUCUUCUUCGAAUAAAACCAUAGAUCGAUAGGAAUUUAAUUAAAUAUUGCGUGAGGAAAGGGUUGAAAUUAAUAGAUCGAUAGGAAUAAGAAAGCUAUAGAUGGCUUCCGUGAUGUAUGCGCUGUUGCUGUGCCUCUCAGCCGGAGCACUUUCGAUGGUCCAGGGUGAAGACCCUUACCUGUUCUUCACAUGGAAUGUCAC
rnacentral:lncRNA from 1 species